GAUGAACGCUGGCGGCGUGCCUAAUACAUGCAAGUCGAGCGAACAGACGAGGAGCUUGCUCCUCUGACGUUAGCGGCGGACGGGUGAGUAACACGUGGAUAACCUACCUAUAAGACUGGGAUAACUUCGGGAAACCGGAGCUAAUACCGGAUAAUAUAUUGAACCGCGUGGUUCAAUAGUGAAAGACGGUUUUGCUGUCACUUAUAGAUGGAUCCGCGCCGCAUUAGCUAGUUGGUAAGGUAACGGCUUACCAAGGCAACGAUGCGUAGCCGACCUGAGAGGGUGAUCGGCCACACUGGAACUGAGACACGGUCCAGACUCCUACGGGAGGCAGCAGUAGGGAAUCUUCCGCAAUGGGCGAAAGCCUGACGGAGCAACGCCGCGUGAGUGAUGAAGGUCUUCGGAUCGUAAAAUUCUGUUAUUAGGGAAGAACAAAUGUGUAAGUAACUAUGCACGUCUUGACGGUACCUAAUCAGAAAGCCACGGCUAACUACGUG
rnacentral:rRNA from 1 species